rnacentral:misc_RNA from 1 species
AGCAGCCGCGGUAAUUCCAGCUCCAAUAGCGUAUAUUAAAGUUGUUGCAGUUAAAGAGCUCGUAGUUGAAUUUCGGGAUCAAUUAAUCGGUCGUGCCUCUGGUACGCACUGGUUUUAUUGGUUUCUCCCUUCUGACGUACCAGGAUGUCAUUAAUUUGGUGUCUUGGAGAAUCAGGACUGUUACUUUGAAAAAUUGAGUAUUUAAAGCAGGCUAACGCUUGAAUAUAUUAGCAUGGAAUAAUGAAAUAGGACGUUUGAUCCUAUUUUGUGGUUUCUAGGAUCGAC